UACGUAGGGUGCAAGCGUUGUCCGGAAUUAUUGGGCGUAAAGAGCUCGUAGGCGGUCUGUCGCGUCGGCUGUGAAAACCUGGGGCUUAACUCCGGGCUUGCAGCCGAUACGGGCAGACUAGAGUUCGGCAGGGGAGACUGGAAUUCCUGGUGUAGCGGUGAAAUGCGCAGAUAUCAGGAGGAACACCGGUGGCGAAGGCGGGUCUCUGGGCCGAUACUGACGCUGAGGAGCGAAAGCGUGGGGAGCAAACAGG
rnacentral:rRNA from 1 species